AACCAUUCUCACCUGCGGCUAGACCUGCGGAAGGAUCAUUACCGAGUUUACAACUCCCAAACCCCUGUGAACAUACCACUUGUUGCCUCGGCGGAUCAGCCCGCUCCCGGUAAAACGGGACGGCCCGCCAGAGGACCCCUAAACUCUGUUUCUAUAUGUAACUUCUGAGUAAAACCAUAAAUAAAUCAAAACUUUCAACAAUGGAUCU
rnacentral:misc_RNA from 1 species